CAGUCGCCGCGGUAAUACGAAGGGUGCAAGCGCUACUCGGAAUUACUGGGCGUAAAGCGUGCGUAGGUGGUGGUUUAAGUCCGUUGUGAAAGCCCUGGGCUCAACCUGGGAAUUGCAGUGGAUACUGGGUCACUAGAGUGUGGUAGAGGAUAGUGGAAUUUCCGGUGUAGCAGUGGAAUGCGUAGAGAUCGGAAGGAACAUCUGUGGCGAAGGCGACUAUCUGGGCCAACACUGACACUGAGGCACGAAAGCGUGGGGAGCAAACAGGAUUAGAUACCCCCGUAGUCCCUGUCUCUUAUAC
rnacentral:rRNA from 1 species